ACGCUGGCGGCGUGCCUAAUACAUGCAAGUCGAGCGAACGGACGAGAAGCUUGCUUCUCUGAUGUUAGCGGCGGACGGGUGAGUAACACGUGGAUAACCUACCUAUAAGACUGGGAUAACUUCGGGAAACCGGAGCUAAUACCGGAUAAUAUUUUGAACCGCAUGGUUCAAAAGUGAAAGACGGUCUUGCUGUCACUUAUAGAUGGAUCCGCGCUGCAUUAGCUAGUUGGUAAGGUAACGGCUUACCAAGGCAACGAUGCAUAGCCGACCUGAGAGGGUGAUCGGCCACACUGGAACUGAGACACGGUCCAGACUCCUA
rnacentral:rRNA from 1 species